rnacentral:rRNA from 1 species
AACGAACGCUGGCGGCAUGCCUAACACAUGCAAGUCGAACGAGACCUUCGGGUCUAGUGGCUCACGGGUGCGUAACGCGUGGGAACCUGCCCUUAGGUUCGGAAUAACUCCCCGAAAUGGGUGCUAAUACCGGAUAAUUUCUUCGGACCAAAGAUUUAUCGCCUUUGGAUGAGCCCGCGUUGGAUUAGCUAGUUGGUAGGGUAAAAGCCUACCAAGGCUACGAUCCAUAGCUGGUCUGAGAGGAUGAUCAGCCACACUGGGACUGAGACACGGCCCAGACUACUACGGGAGGCAGCAGAGGGGAAUAUUGGACAAUGGGCGAAAGCCUGAUCCAGCAAGGCCGCGUGAGUGAUGAAGGCCUUAGGGUUGUAAAGCUCUUUUACACGGGAUGAUAAUGACAGUACCGGGAGAAUAAGCUCCGGCUAACUCCGUG